rnacentral:rRNA from 1 species
AGGAUGAACGCUGGCGGUAUGCUUUACACAUGCAAGUCGUACGAGAGUUUUUAACUCAAGUGGCGGACGGGUGAGUAACACGUAAGAAUUUGCCUUUAGGAGGGGGAUAACAACUGGAAACGGUUGCUAAUACCCCAUAUGCUUUCGAGUAAAAUGGAUUUAUCCGCCUAAAGAGAAGCUUGCGGCUGAUUAGCUUGUUGGUGAGGUAAUGGCUUACCAAGGCGACGAUCAGUAUCUGGUUUGAGAGGACGAUCAGACACACUGGAACUGAGACACGGUCCAGACUCCUACGGGAGGCAGCAGUGGGGAAUUUCCGCAAUGGGCGAAAGCCUGACGGAGCAAUACCGCGUGAGGGAUGACGGCCUAUGGGUUGUAAACCUCUUUUUCAGGAGGAAUCAAUGACGUGUACCUGAAGAAUAAGCAUCGGCUAACUCCGUGCCAGCAGCCGC